AAACAGGUGGUUUCCUCUCUAUUGAUUCUGAGCAUCCUGGGGACUUUUUCACUACGUAGUUUAUUUGUCAUCGUACUCCCCAUUGCCUUUGUCGCUUUCGUUGUAUAUGAGAAAAAGGAGGAAGAGAUAGAUCACUUUGUUCACGAAGCUAUUUCGCGUGUCUCUAAACUGAAGUCCAACAUUGUUGAGAAAGUGCCCAUCAGCUCCAAGAAAACACAAUAACUGUCUACCUCUCCUUCUCAAUUUCUCCGGGUUUUGUGCAUAGCUCUCGGAAGCUUUAUGCUAUAGCUGGCUCUCUUGAAGCUCAAGGACCUGAUUCCAUCGUGCUUCAUACAAAAACUUCUGCAUUGGGCUCCCAAACGCAAAGAUAUGUACUGCUACCCUCCACUUUCUGGACUUCUGCCUUCAUCAUUUCUCUAUUGUGGAACUAACAUGUUAUUGCAUUCCUUUAUUUCUGGCCUUAUUAUCCACAUUAUACUAAACUCUUGCCUGGUGGGAUACGUUGGUGAUGCAACACCGAGUGUGUAAACUUUGUAGGAGAGAACUAGAUAUUGGGUUUUUUGUUGUGACAGCAACCUUGUUCCUUAAUGCCCCUGUGGACAUUAUGGUUUUAAAAGAUUUAUACACUUUGGUCUUUCGACAGCUAAAUUUUGUUCAUGUACUUUA